GCCACUUACCUUGAGGUGGCCGCUGUCCGGGCUGCUCGCCUCCUCCUCGUCUUCACCUCCCGAGGCGGCGGCGGCCGAGACGGUGGGCGGCGGCGCGCCCCGUCCGCGAAGCCCCAGGUGCUCGGCGGUGGCGGCGGCCGCAGGCAAGGCAGCCGAGGCUGCGCCCCCGGAGGCUCCGGGGCUGAGCGUCACGUUGUGCGCGUUCUCGCCCCAGCGCCACGGGUACACCAUGAAGUCGCUGAAGCCAGGGCUGGUGGGGAUGAGCGGAGGCGGCGGCUCUGGCUCCCCUCCGCCGCCGCAUGUGGGCUUGAUCGGGGUCGUCCUGAUGACCGACACCAGCACCCGCUUCGGGGAAUCCUGGCAGAAGAUGACGGGCGGCGGCUGAGGGGCGUUGUCCGCCAUCUGCGCCUCCACACCCCGGAUCAUUGCCUGGCCCGGAUCCGCAGCUCCGGCGGCCGUGGGCCGCACUCCCCGAGCCCGGGUCUGGUCCUUGCUCCGCUCGCCGGCGCUGCUCCGAGUUGCUGGCUCUCAGUCUUGCCGGCUCUUAGUCCCGCCGGCUCAUGGCAGGCGGACGUUUCCUGGAACUCUCCUGCGCUGCGGCCAGUGAAGGAACAGAACGGCUCGGCCGGACCAGACGGUCAGGGCUGGCCCCCCAACCCUUGGGUCAAACCCGCUCUCCGCUGUUUAUACUCUCCAACGCAGGCUGCAGCUGCAGGAAGCAGCGGGCGGCUUGCCUUUGCGAUGACAGGGAAGCUGGACGCGAGGCGCCGAGCCCCCGAAAAUAACAACCUGCCGCCGGGGUCCCUACUCCUGUUUUUCCCGCGUUACAUUUCGCGCCUGGGCGGAACCAAUCACCGCAAGGCCCCUGCCCGCUGGCCGCAGCGGCGAGUGACAGGACGCGCGAGCCAAUGGCCGGGCCUGGACUUCUUUCUAGCCAGACCGGGGCGGAGCCGGACCUGCGCGCGGGUCCUUUCUGCCAUGCUAUUGGCCGCCGCUCUUGUAUUUUUUUUUUCUUCCAGAGGAGCCAACAGCGUUCGAAACUCCAGGGGAGCGCGCGACGUCGGCACUCACCCAGACACACCCUCCGGGAGCCCCGCCCCUGCUGUCCCUCUGCGCGGGUAGUCGAGUUUUAUCCCAAAUGACUGUACCGGAUACUUCUGAAUCCAUUGUAAGGAAAAUAUAAUUCAUCUAUUUUAUACUUGAAAAACAGUGAAAAGUAAAAAGUGAUAUAUCCAACUUGGACUCUCAAAUUACCGGUUAAGCAAGAUCCAGCAGAUUAAGCACCAGCCAAUAGUUACUGUUUAACAAGGCCCAGAGUGUGAGAUGAGUCAUUCAGAACCAAGAACUAACUUUCUGCUUCUAAAAAUUAUUCUUCAUCAACAGUAACCUGGCAACUCUACUUGCUCUCUGCCACAAGAGAAUGAAAGGCAUGCCAGGAAUUUGUGAACUGGGCAGAGGGUGAUUCCUUGAGCAGAGCUGAGGACAUGCAAGAUCUGCUUGUUUGGCUCUAUUUCCCUGCAACUAGGAGGCUGUCUGAAGUGUGCGGAUCAUAUUUCUGGUGUCUUUGUUCUGCCCUAGUCAAAGUCUAAAUACUAAAAUUGAGAAUACUGAGAUUCAGAGUAAUAAAAUUCAUCUAAG
rnacentral:lncRNA from 1 species